GUGGGGAAUAUUGGACAAUGGGCGCAAGCCUGAUCCAGCAAUUCCGCGUGAGCGAAGAAGGCCUUCGGGUUGUAAAGCUCUUUCGGCGGGGACGAUAAUGACGGUACCCGCAGAAGAAGCCCCGGCUAACUCCGUGCCAGCAGCCGCGGUAAUACGGAGGGGGCUAGCGUUGUUCGGAAUCACUGGGCGUAAAGCGCACGUAGGCGGCUACUCCAGUCAGAGGUGAAAGCCCGGGGCUCAACUCCGGAAUUGCCUUUGAAACUAGGUAGCUUGAACGUCGGAGAGGUAAGUGGAAUUCCGAGUGUAGAGGUGAAAUUCGUAGAUAUUCGGAAGAACACCAGUGGCGAAGGCGACUUACUGGACGACUGUUGACGCUGAGGUGCGAAAGCGUGGGGAGCAAACAGGAUUAGAAACCCCGGUAGUCC
rnacentral:rRNA from 1 species